CCGCGUGAGUGAUGAAGGUUUUCGGAUCGUAAAACUCUGUUGUUAGGGAAGAAUAAGUACCGGAGUAACUGCCGGUACCUUGACGGUACCUAACCAGAAAGCCACGGCUAACUACGUGCCAGCAGCCGCGGUAAUACGUAGGUGGCAAGCGUUGUCCGGAAUUAUUGGGCGUAAAGCGCGCGCAGGCGGUCCUUUAAGUCUGAUGUGAAAGCCCACGGCUCAACCGUGGAGGGUCAUUGGAAACUGGGGGACUUGAGUGCAGAAGAGGAGAGUGGAAUUCCACGUGUAGCGGUGAAAUGCGUAGAGAUGUGGAGGAACACCAGUGGCGAAGGCGACUCUCUGGUCUGUAACUGACGCUGAGGCGCGAAAGCGUGGGGAGCGAACAGGAUUAGAUACCCUGGUAGUCCACGCCGUAAACGAUGAGUGCUAAGUGUUAGAGGGUUUCCGCCCUUUAGUGCUGCAGCUAACGCAUUAAGCACUCCGCCUGGGGAGUACGGCCGCAAGGCUGAAACUCAAAGGAAUUGACGGGGGCCCGCACAAGCGGUGGAGCAUGUGGUUUAAUUCGAAGCAACGCGAAGAACCUUACCAGGUCUUGACAUCUCCUGACAAUCCUAGAGAUAGGACGUUCCCCUUCGGGGGACAGGAUGACAGGUGGUGCAUGGUUGUCGUCAGCUCGUGUCGUGAGAUGUUGGGUUAAGUCCCCGCACGAGCGCAACCCUUG
rnacentral:rRNA from 1 species